rnacentral:lncRNA from 1 species
AGAUGCACCUGUAUAUACACACACAGUAGUCAACAUUUGAAGUGGAUCAAAAAAGGUGAUCAAAGUUGUCCUAAGACAAGAACGCAUUUAGGUUUUAGGACAACUUUAAUGAAAGGUUUUGAUCCACUUCAAAUGUUGACUAAUGUAUAUAUUUACAAAUUACAAUUCCAAAACAAUACAAAAACGCAUAUCUCCCCAAUUAACUAAAUAACAAACAACAUAAAAACAAAAAGAGCAACUUUGUAUAGACAGCUGCUGUCUUAUAAAUACACACCAUUAGUUCUACUGUAAGGAUACUCUAGUUUGCAGUAUUUUGUUUGUGUAACUCAAACAUCAGUCCUCUUCUUUAAUCUUCUGUGAAUCUGUAUUUUCGUACAGGGGAAUGGUGAUGAAGACUCGUCCCCUGGUCAGACUGAUGCUCUAAUGCAGAUGACUCCUAAUGGGACAUCCCAUAAUAACACUGAGGAUGCCAAUGAGACACCACAGAGACAGACGAAGACCCUUAAGCCAUUAAAGAACAUCACUGUGUGACUGAGAUGAUCACCUUCAUUUGAAUUUUCUGUGAUGCCAGUCCUGGAUAGCUGCAGGUAGAUUUUACCAGUAUGUUUGAUACU